UACAGAGGGGGCAAGCGUUAUUCGGAAUUAUUGGGCGUAAAGGGCGCGUAGGCGGCCUGGCAAGUGGAAGGUGAAAUCCCUCGGCUUAACCGAGGAACUGCCCUCCAAACUGCUUGGCUUGAGUCCGGGAGAGGUGAGUGGAAUUCCCAGUGUAGCGGUGAAAUGCGUAGAUAUUGGGAGGAACACCAGUGGCGAAGGCGGCUCACUGGACCCGGAACUGACGCUGAGGCGCGAAAGCGUGGGAGCAAACGG
rnacentral:rRNA from 1 species